GCAGCCGUAGCGCGGACGAAGAGGGCCGACGUGCUUCUUGUCAGCCGUAGGCCACUCAUGCCGUUCAAAAUCGAUAGCGUCGAUCCAUUAAGAGGUAAGAACAUCCCGAAUUGUAGAAGAUUACCUGCACGCUUACAGUUCUUGUUUGGAUUUUCAAUCCAUUGAUCAAGGGUGCCUUUUCCAUUCGUCUUUUCCUCCGUUGAUGUCUUUCCGAUGGAAGGUUGCGAACAUUGUCCUGAUUCCAUCCCCACAUGCUCGGAUGAAGCAAUUCUCAACGGCGGUUGCCGGUUGACUCGUCACAGGUCACAGCGAUUAGCGCUAAUUAGCCUGAUCGUGUAGUGACGCCAGCCGCUCGGAAGCCACGCCGCCGGGGCAAGCCAAGGCCGCUCGCCGUUGUUGUUCGAGGGCCGUAGUCGGGGAGGCACCGGGUUCCGCGGGCAGGCGUUUCAGGCGUACAUAACCGCUGCCUGGGAUGGCCUAUUUCUCUCGUCGGAGAGCAAAGGGUUGAUAACAUGUUAAGAGGAAAAUGAAUCAACUCACUCCUUUACUAGAUGGCAUCUGCUAUUUAUACAAGGGAAAGGACACCAUUGGAAAAGGUGUUUGUUCAAAGGAGGUGCCUAUUCGGCAGGAGCCGACGCGGCCGUUUUACAACUGCCUGCGGUUAGUACAAGCAGGGAUCCCAUAAUUAACACAUGGUUAAUUAAUUCUAACAAAAACCAAGGUUGGGCCUUGCUGGA